rnacentral:rRNA from 1 species
UCUGGCGGCAGUAGCGCGGUGGUCCCACCUGACCCCAUGCCGAACUCAGAAGUGAAACGCCGUAGCGCCGAUGGU